GAUGAACGCUAGCGACAGGCUUAACACAUGCAAGUCGAGGGGCAGCGGGGGUAGCAAUACCCGCCGGCGACCGGCGCACGGGUGAGUAACGCGUAUGCAACUUGCCUAUCAGAGGGGGAUAACCCGGCGAAAGUCGGACUAAUACCGCAUGAAGCAGGGGCCCCGCAUGGGGAUAUUUGCUAAAGAUUCAUCGCUGAUAGAUAGGCAUGCGUUCCAUUAGGCAGUUGGCGGGGUAACGGCCCACCAAACCGACGAUGGAUAGGGGUUCUGAGAGGAAGGUCCCCCACAUUGGUACUGAGACACGGACCAAACUCCUACGGGAGGCAGCAGUGAGGAAUAUUGGUCAAUGGGCGUAAGCCUGAACCAGCCAAGUCGCGUGAGGGAUGAAGGUUCUAUGGAUCGUAAACCUCUUUUAUAAGGGAAUAAAGUGUGGGACGUGUCCCGUUUUGUAUGUACCUUAUGAAUAAGGAUCGGCUAACUCCGUGCCAGCAGCCGCGGUAAUACGGAGGAUCCGAGCGUUAUCCGGAUUUAUUGGGUUUAAAGGGUGCGUAGGCGGCCUUUUAAGUCAGCGGUGAAAGUCUGUGGCUCAACCAUAGAAUUGCCGUUGAAACUGGGAGGCUUGAGUAUGUUUGAGGCAGGCGGAAUGCGUGGUGUAGCGGUGAAAUGCAUAGAUAUCACGCAGAACCCCGAUUGCGAAGGCAGCCUGCCAAGCCAUGACUGACGCUGAUGCACGAAAGCGUGGGGAUCANACAGG
rnacentral:rRNA from 1 species